rnacentral:rRNA from 1 species
AGGUUCGAUCGAAGGAACAAUCAGGACAUAUUUGAUUGGGAAAACAAACACCGUGCGUGGAUACAAAUUUGGGAUCAAAGAGACACGUUAGUGCAAUCAGAGAAUAGACCUCACAAUCAGUCAGCAUAUCAGAAGUAUCAAGUGUGGUAUGUGGAUCGUUACCGGUUAAAGCUAAAGCCUGGUUGGACUCACGAGGAGUGGUCGGAGUUCGUGUCUGAAGACCCGGAGACUGCAGAAGGUUAUCAGAACUUCAACACGGCUGUGAGAGACACCAGAGGGGCUCAUGUUGACUAUGCACCGAUGCAUGACGAAAUGGUAGUCUAA